rnacentral:rRNA from 1 species
UGCAGAGGGGGCAAGCGUUAUUCGGAAUUAUUGGGCGUAAAGGGCGCGUAGGCGGCCUGACAAGUGGAUGGUGAAAUCCCUCGGCUUAACCGAGGAACUGCCAUCCAGACUGUUUGGCUUGAGACCGGGAGAGGUGAGUGGAAUUCCCAGUGUAGCGGUGAAAUGCGUAGAUAUUGGGAGGAACACCAGUGGCGAAGGCGGCUCACUGGACCGGUACUGACGCUGAUGCGCGAAAGCGUGGGGAGCAAACGGG